rnacentral:sRNA from 1 species
GUACGGGUGCCCUUCCUUGAGGUCAAUGAUCCAGGGGAACCCUCAGGGCUGGAGACUCUGAAAGACACACCGCCCCCACGGCUCAUCAAGUCACACCUGCCCCUGGCUCUGCUCCCUCAGACUCUGUUGGAUCAGAAGGUCAAGGUGGUCUAUGUUGCCCGAAACCCAAAGGACGUGGCGGUCUCCUACUACCAUUUCCACCGUAUGGAAAAGGCGCACCCUGAGCCUGGGACCUGGGACAGCUUCCUGGAAAAGUUCAUGGCUGGAGAAGUGUCCUACGGGUCCUGGUACCAGCACAUGCAGGAGUGGUGGGAGCUGAGCCGCACCCACCCUGUUCUCUACCUCUUCUAUGAAGACAUGAAGGAGGUGAGACCGCCUGUGAUGCUUCCCCCCAUGUGACACCUGGGGGCAGGCACCUCACAGGGACCCACCAAGGC